UACGAAGGGGGCUAGCGUUGCUCGGAAUCACUGGGCGUAAAGCGCACGUAGGCGGCUUGUUAAGUCAGGGGUGAAAUCCUGGAGCUCAACUCCAGAACUGCCUUUGAUACUGGCGAGCUUGAGUUCGGGAGAGGUGAGUGGAACUGCGAGUGUAGAGGUGAAAUUCGUAGAUAUUCGCAAGAACACCAGUGGCGAAGGCGGCAUCACUGGCCCGAGUACUGACGCUGAGGUGCGAAAGCGUGGGGAGCAAACAGG
rnacentral:rRNA from 1 species